GGGAGUGUUAUACAGAGUAAGGUGGGGUGUUAUACAGAGUAAGGGGACGUUAUACAGAGUAAGGGGGAUGUUAUACAGAGUAAGGGGGACGUUAUACAGAGUAAAGGAGUGUUAUACACAGUAAGCGGACGUUAUACAGAGUAAGGGGGUGUUAUACAGAGUAAAGGGGUCGUUAUACGGAGUAAGGGGACGUUAUACGGAGUAAGGGGACGUUAUACGGAGUAAGGGGACGUUAUACGGAGUAAGGGGGGUGUUAUACGGAGUAAGGGAGUGUUAUACAGAGUAAGGGAGUGUUAUUCAGAGUAAGGUGGGGUGUUAUACACAGUAAGGGGACGUUAUACAGAGUAAGGGGGUGUUAUAAAGAGUAAGGGGGUGUUAUACAGAGUAAGGGAGUGUUAUAAAGAGUAAGGGGGUGUUAUAAAGAGUAAGGGGGUGUUAUAAAGAGUAAGGGAGUGUUAUACAGAGUAAGGGGGGUGUUAUACAGAGUAAGGGGGUGUUAUAAAGAGUAAGGGGGUGUUAUAAAGAGUAAGGGGGGUGUUAUAGGAGGGAGUCUCACCAUGAAAUGACAGUCUGGUUAACUCACUCUCUGCUGCCUGUCUCUCUCUCUGUGUCUGACCUGUGGGCUGUCUCUGUGAGUGUUUCCUCUGUCAGUCUCCCUCCCCCAGCAGCUCACUCACCCUCCCAGUCUGUGCUCCUCCCUGCAUUCCCAGCCCGACUGACAUUCCCAUCAUCCAGCCUUCUCUCUCUCACUCACCCUCCCAGCCCGACUGCCAUUCCCAUCAUCCAGCCUUCUCUCUCUCACUCACCCUCCCAGUCUGUGCUCCUCCCUGCAUUCCCAGCCCGACUGCCAUUCCCAUCAUCCAGCCUUCUCUCACUCACUCACCCUCCCAGUCUGUGCUCCUCCCUGCAUUCCCAGCCCGACUGCCAUUCCCAUCAUCCAGCCUUCUCUCUCUCACUCACCCUCCCAGCCCGACUGCCAUUCCCAUCAUCCAGCCUUCUCUCACUCACUCACCCUCCCAGUCUGUGCUCCUCCCUGCAUUCCCAGCCCGACUGCCAUUCCCAUCAUCCAGCCUUCUCUCACUCACUCACCCUCCCAGUCUGUGCUCCUCCCUGCAUUCCCAGCCCGACUGCCAUUCCCAUCAUCCAGCCUUCUCUCACUCACUCACCCUCCCAGCCCGACUGCCAUUCCCAUCAUCCAGCCUUCUCUCUCUCACUCACCCUCCCAGUCUGUGCUCCUCCCUGCAUUCCCAGCCCGACUGCCAUUCCCAUCAUCCAGCCUUCUCUCCCUCACUCACCCUCCCAGUCUGUGCUCCUCCCUGCAUUCCCAGCCCGACUGCCAUUCCCAUCAUCCAGCCUUCUCUCACUCACUCACCCUCCCAGUCUGUGCUCCUCCCUGCAUUCCCAGCCCGACUGCCA